rnacentral:rRNA from 1 species
UACGUAGGGUGCAAGCGUUGUCCGGAAUUAUUGGGCGUGAAGAGCUUGUAGGCGGUUUGUCGCGUCUGCUGUGAAAUUUCGGGGCUCAACCCCGAACUUGCAGUGGGUACGGGCAGACUAGAGUGUGGUAGGGGAGACUGGAAUUCCUGGUGUAGCGGUGAAAUGCGCAGAUAUCAGGAGGAACACCGAUGGCGAAGGCAGGUCUCUGGGCCACUACUGACGCUGAGAAGCGAAAGCAUGGGGAGCGAACAGG